rnacentral:rRNA from 1 species
UUCAGCAGUCUACACAUGCAGUCGAGCGGAUGAAGAGAGCUUGCUCUCUGAUUCAGCGGCGGACGGGUGAGUAAUGCCUAGGAAUCUGCCUGGUAGUGGGGGACAACGUUUCGAAAGGAACGCUAAUACCGCAUACGUCCUACGGGAGAAAGCAGGGGACCUUCGGGCCUUGCGCUAUCAGAUGAGCCUAGGUCGGAUUAGCUAGUUGGUGAGGUAAUGGCUCACCAAGGCGACGAUCCGUAACUGGUCUGAGAGGAUGAUCAGUCACACUGGAACUGAGACACGGUCCAGACUCCUACGGGAGGCAGCAGUGGGGAAUAUUGGACAAUGGGCGAAAGCCUGAUCCAGCCAUGCCGCGUGUGUGAAGAAGGUCUUCGGAUUGUAAAGCACUUUAAGUUGGGAGGAAGGGUUGUAGAUUAAUACUCUGCAAUUUUGACGUUACCGACAGAAUAAGCACCGGCUAACUCUGUGCCAGCAGCCGCGGUAAUACAGAGGGUGCAAGCGUUAAUCGGAAUUACUGGGCGUAAAGCGCGCGUAGGUGGUUUGUUAAGUUGGAUGUGAAAGCCCCGGGCUCAACCUGGGAACUGCAUUCAAAACUGACAAGCUAGAGUAUGGUAGAGGGUGGUGGAAUUUCCUGUGUAGCGGUGAAAUGCGUAGAUAUAGGAAGGAACACCAGUGGCGAAGGCGACCACCUGGACUGAUACUGACACUGAGGUGCGAAAGCGUGGGGAGCAAACAGGAUUAGAUACCCUGGUAGUCCACGCCGUAAACGAUGUCAACUAGCCGUUGGGGACCUUGAGUCUUUAGUGGCGCAGCUAACGCAUUAAGUUGACCGCUGGGGAGUACGGGCGCAAGGGUUAAAACUCAAAUGAAUUGACGGGGGGCCCGCACAAGCGGUGGAGCAUGUGGGUUUAAA